UGGCGCACGGGUGCGUAACGCGUGGGAAUCCGCCCCUUGGUUCGGAAUAACAGUUAGAAAUGACUGCUAAUACCGGAUGAUGUCUUCGGACCAAAGAUUUAUCGCCAAGGGAUGAGCCCGCGUAGGAUUAGCUAGUUGGUGAGGUAAAAGCUCACCAAGGCGACGAUCCUUAGCUGGUCUGAGAGGGUGAUCAGCCACACUGGGACUGAGACACGGCCCAG
rnacentral:rRNA from 1 species